UUGGAUUACUAGAACUAUUUGAGUCUAUUUACUUCGUAUUUCUGCUUUCCUAAUCGUAAUUGAUUAUUGUACACUCAUUCAACUUGAGCGCAUAGAAAUUCACAGACACUCAAAUAUCUCACUUUCACCCAAAGUAUAAUUUCCCUUUAAAAGGAUCUCCGCGCCAGACGUUUUUUUCUGACGUAAUGACGCACGAGCCUGAUUUCAACUUCUGUUGCUCAGCUGACAACCGCCAUUUUUUUCCUCCGCACUCGAUGAAAAAGAAUCAAAAGCUUUUUAAAUAUUUGACGACUGAGGAGGACACUUUGCUAUAACGUUGUUACAUGACUGAAAACAUUCACGUGAAAAGAGUGUGUCCUGAAGGCCCUCAUCGUUUUCCUGGGGAAAUCCUCAAGAUCUUAUCAAGGAGUACCUUGAGAACCAGCAAGAUGAUUGCGAGGGUGAGCUGGAGCAGUUCACCAUGGCAGUGUAUUUUAUUCGGAAGGAGGGGGGACAUCACAAACCACCGGCUGACAUAAGUGUCGUCAUCAAGGCUGUCAAAGUUCUGAAUGAGCUGCCUUCGUUCACAUCAGCUUGUGCCUUGCUUCUCG